AGAGUUUGAUCCUGGCUCAGGAUGAACGCUGGCGGCGUGCCUAAUACAUGCAAGUCGAACGAAACUUCUUUAUCACCGAGUGCUUGCACUCACCGAUAAAGAGUUGAGUGGCGAACGGGUGAGUAACACGUGGGCAACCUGCCCAAAAGAGGGGGAUAACACUUGGAAACAGGUGCUAAUACCGCAUAACCAUAGUUACCGCAUGGUAACUAUGUAAAAGGUGGCUAUGCUACCGCUUUUGGAUGGGCCCGCGGCGCAUUAGCUAGUUGGUGGGGUAAAGGCUUACCAAGGCAAUGAUGCGUAGCCGAACUGAGAGGUUGAUCGGCCACAUUGGGACUGAGACACGGCCCAAACUCCUACGGGAGGCAGCAGUAGGGAAUCUUCCACAAUGGGCGAAAGCCUGAUGGAGCAACGCCGCGUGGGUGAAGAAGGUCUUCGGAUCGUAAAACCCUGUUGUUAGAGAAGAAAGUGCGUGAGAGUAACUGUUCACGUUUCGACGGUAUCUAACCAGAAAGCCACGGCUAACUACGUGCCAGCAGCCGCGGUAAUACGUAGGUGGCAAGCGUUAUCCGGAUUUAUUGGGCGUAAAGGGAACGCAGGCGGUCUUUUAAGUCUGAUGUGAAAGCCUUCGGCUUAACCGGAGUAGUGCAUUGGAAACUGGGAGACUUGAGUGCAGAAGAGGAGAGUGGAACUCCAUGUGUAGCGGUGAAAUGCGUAGAUAUAUGGAAGAACACCAGUGGCGAAAGCGGCUCUCUGGUCUGUAACUGACGCUGAGGUUCGAAAGCGUGGGUAGCAAACAGGAUUAGAUACCCUGGUAGUCCACGCCGUAAACGAUGAAUGCUAAGUGUUGGAGGGUUUCCGCCCUUCAGUGCUGCAGCUAACGCAAUAAGCAUUCCGCCUGGGGAGUACGACCGCAAGGUUGAAACUCAAAGGAAUUGACGGGGGCCCGCACAAGCGGUGGAGCAUGUGGUUUAAUUCGAAGCAACGCGAAGAACCUUACCAGGUCUUGACAUCUUUUGCCAAUCCUAGAGAUAGGACUUUCCCUUCGGGGACAAAAUGACAGGUGGUGCAUGGUUGUCGUCAGCUCGUGUCGUGAGAUGUUGGGUUAAGUCCCGCAACGAGCGCAACCCUUAUUGUUAGUUGCCAGCAUUAAGUUGGGCACUCUAGCAAGACUGCCGGUGACAAACCGGAGGAAGGUGGGGAUGACGUCAAAUCAUCAUGCCCCUUAUGACCUGGGCUACACACGUGCUACAAUGGACGGUACAACGAGUCGCAAGACCGCGAGGUUUAGCAAAUCUCUUAAAGCCGUUCUCAGUUCGGAUUGUAGGCUGCAACUCGCCUACAUGAAGUCGGAAUCGCUAGUAAUCGCGGAUCAGCAUGCCGCGGUGAAUACGUUCCCGGGCCUUGUACACACCGCCCGUCACACCAUGAGAGUUUGUAACACCCAAAGCCGGUGGGGUAACCUUUUGGAGCCAGCCGUCUAAGGUGGGACAGAUGAUUAGGGUGAAGUCGUAACAAGGUAGCCGUAGGAGAACCUGCGGCUGGAACACCUCCUU
rnacentral:rRNA from 1 species